rnacentral:snRNA from 1 species
AUGCCUUAAACUUAUGAUUAAGAAAAAUAAUGAUUCAGGGUGACACUUGAAUGCUAAUGUGAGAUGAAUUUUUGAGCUGAUAAAGGUGGCCCCUAAGUGACCUGCAUACUUUGCUGGAUCCUGGGAGUCGCCAUCUGCCCC